CAAGGCAAGGGGGCAGGGUAAGGAGUGCCAGUCAUCUCCAAUGAUCGAUAGGUCACGCGAGUCACGUGUCCACUGGACAGGGGGCCUUUCCCUUUGUGGUAGCCGAGGUGGAGAGGGAGGACAGCAAACGUCAGCGUUUCUUCUAUGCACUUAUCAGAAAGAUCGAAGACUGUGGUACUCCUACUAGUUCUGCUACUGCUGUCUUCUAAGAACUUAAAAGGAGGAGCCAGGUGUACAGGCUGAACAUGAAAGUGAACAAGGAGCGUGACCACUGAAGCACAGCAUCACAGGGAGACAGACGUUGGAGCCUCCGGAUGACUGCGGGCCGGCCUGGCUAAUGUCAGACCUCCCACAAGAGGUGGUGGAGCG
rnacentral:lncRNA from 1 species